CAGUAAAUGUUAGACUAGCCAGUGGUACCCACAUCCCUUGAAUGAAUGAUUUUUUUUUUUUUUAAAUGCCUUGAGCAGAAGCCUCAGCAAGGAUUAGUCGGGUUGAAUGAACUCUUUGUGUGCCAUAUAUCCUAUGUCAGUUGCAUAUGUAAACAUGUCAUGCUGUAAUUGCAUUCUUCAACCAGUGGAGGUGUUGCAGCUAUAAAUCAUAAUGCACUGAUACAUCCCUGUUAUGCCUGAUUGGUUGAGGUGUGCGGUCUGUGAAGCCAAUCAGGCAUAACAGAUAGGGAUUCUUCCAAUAAGUAGUGUUGUGUUUCUUGUUUGCUACCAGUUAAGCCUACCAGUGUGUCAUGAAGACAGCAGGUAGCUGAUUUUUGAAUGGAGGGGAACUAAUGAGUGGCCAGUCUUUCGAAAGUCAGCACCCAUCUUGUUGACUCAACUUGACUAUAUAACUAACAAAUGAAAAUUCUUGUCUUCCUAAAAGGUUAUAUUUGCCAAUAAAAUUGCCUCUGUGUUUUUAAAAUCUCUCCAAUAAUACUUCCCUCUUGGUUCUAGUUUAUAGACUUUGAAUUGCACCAGGUGGUAGUUUGAACGAAGGGACUCGGGAGAAAGACAUUUCUCCGAACGUACCAGAUUACCUGCAAAUAUUCUGGCCUGCAACUCCCAGACACAAGUUCAGACCUCUAAUAUUGAUUCCUACAUCUCAAAAUGCAUACCCAAAAAAUGAAUUCAUCAAAACAUAAAGCGGGAACAAGCCAUUCAAGAAAGUCCUGGCCGAGCUGAUCACAGCCAUUACUCCAACAUUGACUGCCCCACCUCCUCUAUACCCUAUUAACUCUGUGUAUUGAUACCAUAAAGCAAGUACAAAGUUAACUAUUUCUUUUGCAGAUCAGCUUUAGGAAGGAUGUACAAACUUUGGAGACAGUGCUGCAAAGAUUUACUAGAAUGGUACAAAAUAAGACAUGUUUUAUUGCCACUGGAUGUCUCCAUGCACUUUCACAGAGGUGUUUGAAGUGUGUUCCCUGUUACUGUCAGGAAAUAACAGCCAGAUGUACACAGUUAGAUCCCACAAACAACAAUAUAAUGAUCAUCAAUUCCAUGAUGUUGAUUUAAAGGAUAAAUAUUGGCCAGGACACUGGGAAUGACUUUAAUUCUUUCAGAUAUGGCAAUGAACUGUUUUACAUCUACUCCAACAGGCAGGUAUGAUCUCAGUUUAAAAUCUCAGCGGAAAAACUGCACAUUUGACAGCACUAUCUUUCCUCAGUUCAGCACUGGAGUGUUGGCUUUUAAUUGGAUGUGACUGGUAGAUUGAGUGAUUGGAGAAAUUGAGAUUAUUCGAAUUGCAGAGAAGGUGAAGACAAUAUUUGAUAUGAAUGUUCAAAAUUAAGGAGCCUUGAUCAAAUCAGUUGAAACCUUUUUACCGUUAGCGAACAGCUGACAAAUUAGUAGCUUGAGAAAGCAGAUUUUUAAGCUUGUUCUAAUCUAGUUUCAUUCCUGAAUGAAUCAUUUCCACUAUCCUAUCAUAACUUGCAGAAGGUUGUGAAUAUAUUGAGCCAAGAGUACUCUGCUUUCCUGUCAGCUUGCCCUACUCCUCAAUUCUUCAGUGGCAGGAUAUGCCGAAGUGGAAGUCAGGAUCUUGAGCAAGUUCAUGAGCUGAAUGUUUGUUUGGGGUCAUGACCUCCAAGACAGCGAUGGCUUCUGUGGAGCUCCAUCCAAGUUUAAAAACAAAUGGGUCCUGCACGCACAGACAUCAUCGCCCUUUCAUGUCCUUGAAAUUCACCUCUUUUCACCUUCCCAACUCCUUCAUGGUUCUUACUUGGACAUCACAACCGUUUCCAAGCUACAAAACAGGCAUCUUAAGUGGGAGAAAAUGUUUGUCCAAUUGUUCAAGAAUCUGUGUAGCUCUGCCUUCAAUAUAUUCAAUGACUUGGCCUCCACAGCUCUGGGGCCAGAGAGUUCCAAAGGUUCAACAAGAUUUGCUGAGAAAUUUUUACCUUGAUCUUAAAAUACGUGACUCCUUUACUCUAGAUUUCCCGCACAAAUGGAAAAUUACUUAUGGAAGGGGGAUUUUUCUUUCAGGAAAAAGACGCUUUAAGCGUUUUUUAGGUAAGCUCAUUGAGGCCUUUUUAUUUGCAAGGGCUGAAGAGGUAAGUGUUGUGGGGCCAUGUGUCGACCGACACACAAGCUUUGGGACUUCGUCACUUUCGUUCUCAAGUAGAUAAUGCUGACUGAUUUUGAUGUCUUGGUUUCCUCUCUCCCAAAAAAGGUAAUGGAACUUUAAAUAAAAUCCUUUUCAAGCCUCACAUCCAAUCAGUCGAGCAACAUAAGCCUCCAGUAAGGAAACAUGAACUCCACUUGGAGAUUUUUGGACUGUAAGUGCUGACUGUGCAGGCUAGUCUGCAACCUAUACACUUCCUUAUAAGAUUGGUAGCUACCAGUGUAACAAUGCCUCAAAACAUUGCAUUUUAGAAAAUCAUCAUUGAUGUUUGAGGUUAGCUGUCUCAUUUUUAUAUGUACAGUGAGACUGUGUAUCUAUUCUGCCAUUUGGUGGUAGUGACUGGUACUGCAACAGGAAGAGGCUGGGUUCUCAAUUUCUCACUGAUCUUAAAAAUUACAUUUCAGGGGGCUAACAGGCAGUUAAUAUCAGCUGUUCGUGGUUUGUAUGCAUAUUUCUUUCAUGGUCUCCAAAGAAUCUGAUAAAGCAUGAAGCUAAAAUAAAGAAAACCUCAUGAUUAUUA